rnacentral:rRNA from 1 species
GAGUUUGAUCAUGGCUCAGGAUGAACGCUGGCGGCAUGCCUAAGACAUGCAAGUCGAACGAAGUGGUCCAAUGAAAGUAGAGUGCUUGCACAAAGCCGGAUUUGGGUUUCCACUUAGUGGCAGACGGGUGAGUAACACGUGGGUAAUCUACCCCAAAGACUGGGACAACAGUUGGAAACGACUGCUAAUACCGGAUAAUUCAUAUUUAGAAAACUAGAUAUGCUAAAAGGAGCCUUUAAAGCUUCACUUUGGGAUGAGCUUGCGGCGCAUUAGAUAGUUGGUGGGGUAAUGGCCUACCAAGUCAACGAUGCGUAUCCGAGCUGAGAGGCUGAUCGGACACAUUGGGACUGAGACACGGCCCAAACUCCUACGGGAGACAGCAGUUAGGAAUAUUCGUCAAUGGGGGAAACCCUGAACGAGCAAUGCCGCGUGAGUGAUGAAGGUCUUAUUGAUCGUAAAACUCUGUUGUAAGAGACGAAACCACAGUAUAGGAAAUGAUACUGUGCUGACGGUAUCUUACCAGAAAGCCCCGGCUAACUACGUGCCAGCAGCCGCGGUAC